GAUGCGUUGAGUUGUGGCUGGAUAAAAAUGGAAACAAAAACUAAAUUAAGGGGGGCGCAGGCUAGGGAGAAGAUGGAGAACAUGAUGAAGAGUGAUGGAAAAAGAUUGGUGGGGAUUAGAAUACACCUUCUAUGCGCACUAAAAGAAAAGCGCACAAAGGCAUUUUUUGAAUCGAAACAACACCCCAGGCUCUGUGGCCCCAUUUCCGCCAUAGCCAUUGGCCAAGAACCAGUCCCCACCUCGACACUCACUCCAUCAUUACAAUCAAGAAUUCUCUCUUACACUCUUUCUUGAUUUCAUUAACAAUUGUACCCUCAAAAGACUCUCGUUUCUCAAUUCUAGAAAGAAACCCCAUUUGGUGAAACAGUGUUUUUUAAAAUCGUCUCUUUGUUUUUUCCGGUUUCGGUCCGAUUCUUCUCUCUAGAAGAGUGAAAUAACUUCGCUUUUUGUGAUGCGUUGCUGGUGAGGACGUGGGUCUUGGGCAGUUCUUGGUUUGGUGCGUGACGGGGAAUUGCUGCUGUAAGUGGGAACCCUCAGUUUACAAUCUCUCAUUCAAUGCAAAGCCAGGAUCCACAAACGGGUAAACUUAUUGGGAUAGGUCGUAAGAGUGGACGUAUAUUCAAGAUCUCUUCUUUGCAGAUUCAUUCUCAUCUGUCUCGCUCAGAUAAGAUUGGACGGGUCCAUUUCUUUGCAGGUCAUCAGUCAUUUAAUUGUGUCUUUGGUCAACUUGAAAAACAAAUUUAUUUACCUUUUAAUAAAAGUGAGUCGUUUUUAUAUGUACCUUUUGAUUUGAUCCACUCUAAUAUUUAGAAUCUUGUGCCCACUCCUACCAAGGGGGAAUCUCGUUAUUUGUUAUAUUUGUUGAUGAUUAUUCUUGUUAUACAUGUCUAUACAUGUUACAACAUUGAUCUGAACUUGUUCAUGUUUAUCAAACUUUUCACAAAAUGGUACAAACUCAAUUUUCUCGUACCAUUAAAGUCUUUAGUUGAGAUAAUGCUAUGGAAUAUGAUGACAAAUCUCUCCUUGAUUUUCUGACUCAACAAGGUACACUUUCACAUUGUUCAUGUCCCUAUACCUCUCAACAAAAUGGUCAUGCAAAAUGAAAACAUCACCAUAUAGUAGAUACUGUAAGAGCUCUUUUACUUUCUACUUCCAUUCCUAAAACAUUUUUGGGUGAAGCUACUCUUACAGCUGUGUACAACAUCAAUCGGGCACCCUCACCCAUACUUCACAACAAAUCUCCCUUUGAGCUUCUUUACGGUAUGGUUCCUAACUACGCUUUGCUUUGAGUUUUUGGUUAUGCAUGUUUUGUUACUCUUCCUUCUCAUGAAUGCACCAAAAUUGAACCCCACUCUUGGUUAUGUUGUUUUUUUUUAUUAGGGCUUAAAUCAAAAAGGUUAUCGCUACUAUGACCCUAUCACCAAACGUCCUUGAGUCUCUUGUCAUGUGGAGUUUUGGAAACACAAACCUUUUACUAGUCUUCCCAUGUUCUCCCCAUCCUCCCCCACCCACUCUCCACCCAUUCACCCAUAUUUACCUAUUGCUCUAUUUCCUGACACUUCUGCAAAGAUUCUAAGUUCCUUAGAUAUUUUUUCCACAUCUACUCUCAAUUUAGUUUCUCAUCUGAUGGUCCUCCUACAACAUCAUCCAUUCCUGAAUUUUAUUCAAUCCCUGAACCUCAUCAUUCCAACUGGGUAAGUGUUUCUCCUACUCAUUUUCAUGAUUGUUAUUGUUUCUAUGUUCUUACUACUCUUCACAAACUCACAAUUAUUGUGAGCCUUGUACUGACACUCUUUGGAAGCAAGUUAUUUUUUAUGAAUUAGAUGCCCUUGUCAAAAAACAUACUUGGGAUCUGGUGGAAUUGCCUCUUGGUAAAGCUGUAGUAGGAUGCAAGUGAAUUUAUAAAAUCAAGACUCGGGCAAAUGGCUCAGUUGAAUGCUAUAACGUUUGUCUUGUUGCAAAAAGUUUUACCUAGGAGUAUGGUAUCGACUUUGAGGAGAUUUUUGCUCUUGUUGCACAAAUUACCUCUGUUAGAUCUUUACUUGUCAUUGCUGCUGUCUAGCAUUGGAAACUCUUUCAAAUAGAUGUUAAAAGUGCAUUCCUCAAUAGUGAUCUCAUUGAAGAAUUUUACAUACAGCCUCCACCUAGCUAUAAGCAUCUUCCACAUAAAGGCUCUUCACAAGCUAAAAACAGGCUCCUCGAGCUUGGUUUGACAAAUUUCAGUUAGUGGUCUCUCAAGAAGGCUUUAUUUCUAGCUUAUAUGAUUCUACCCUCUUUCUUCGUACUACUGGUGCAGGUAAUCUUCUUCUUCUCCUCUAUAUGAAUGAUAUGAUUAUUACUGGUGAUGAUAUUCCUGGCAUUCAAGAUCUUCAAAAUUUUCUUAGUUAGAAUUUCGAUAAGAAAAUUUUGAGAUGAAUGGACAACUUAACUACUUUCUCAGACUUGAAGUUACUUCGAGUUCGGACUGUUAUUAUCUCACUUAAGCCAAAUAUGCUUCUAAAUUACUCUCCAAAGCUAGUUUGAUAGAUAACAAGACAGUCACUAGUCUGCUUGAGUAUAAUACCAAACUCCUUGCCACUGAUAGUUAGUUGGUAGUUUCAUUUAUCUCACGGUUACCAUGCAUUUCAUAUGUUGUUCGUCUAGUCAGUCAAUUCAUGAGUGCGCCUUGCUCUACCCAUUUUUCUAUUAUUCUUCGAAUUUUACGCUAUAUUAAGGAUACUCUGUUUCAUGGUCUAUACUUCUCCUUACACUCCUCUCUUGAGUUAAAGGCCUAUUCUAAUGCUGAUUAGGCUGGUGAUCCCACUGAUCGUUGCUCCACCACAAGUUAUUGUUUCUUAAGUGGUAUAUCUCUGAUUUGAUGGCAGUAAGGAACAAUCAAUUUUUGCCCAUUCUAGCAUUAAGGCCGAGUAUCGUGCCUUCGCUGAUACUACAUCUAAAAUUUUGUGGUUACACUGGCUUUGGACAAAUAUGGGAGUUUCUCAAGCAACAAGUUCUCUUAUUCAUUGUGACAAUCAUAGUGUAAUGCAGAUUGCACACAAUGCCUUGUUUCACGAGCGUACCAAACAUAUCGAGGUUGAUUGUCACUUCAUCCGCCAUCAUCUUCAGCACGGUAUCCUACAUUUACACUCUAUCCCCUUUUAAGACAAUCUUGCUGACAUUUUUAGGAAAUCACAUACACCUGGUCGACUUGGUGAUCUUGUUUCCAAACUCAGGUUGUCUUCACCACCAAGAGUUUGAGGGGGGAUGUUAGUAUAUAUAUUAGUGUAUCUUCUAUUCCUUUAAUAGAUUAGCAUAUUACCUAAUAUUCUUAGUUUCCAUUUCUCUAGGUUAAAAUAUUUUCUUCAUUGUAUUACCUUAUUUGCAUUGGUCAUAUUUAACUAUAUAUAAGCCUCCUUUGUACAGUUUGAUUAACACAGAAAUUAAACGUAUUAUUCUCCAAAACUCUCUCUGUUUCAACAUAUCCCAAAUUUUUAUUUGCCCUAGAUAUAGCACUUGAGCUUUCCUAUUCUGCUAAUUAAUUUGCCUAAUGGUAUUUACAAUUUCCUUGUAACAUACUAAAGGUGACAUUGGCAUGCAUUACCCAUAGUGAUUAUAUCAUUUACUUCUCCCUCUCUUUUUUAAUUUCUGUAAAUUAAAGAGAGGACAUUCAAAUAAAACUACAAGUCAACAAAUUCAUAGAACCAAAUUUCGAUUAGAAGCAAGAGUGGAUAAGCAUGUAUGUGUGUUCUACAUAACAAACAUAGACAAUCGGGUUAGCAGGAAUGAAACAUUUCCAUGUUAAGACUCCCUUUAGUAAAUAACCUUGUCUAAAGAAUCACAAAUGAUACAUUGUGACUGGAGAGAUAAUUCAAGAGCAACAAAUCAUUAUGAAAAAAAACCUUGAAUUUUCCCAAUAGUCAAUUCAAAACCGAUGAUGUAAAUAAAUUCACCUAAGAAAACCUGAUUGUUUUGAAACAUGGCAAUGCCAACCCCUGCAUUAGCUUUGUGGUAAGCUCACAUACGAUUGAGAACUCAGCACUCCAUAUAUUUGAAGUUAAUUCAAGACUCUAGUUCUUGUUGAGUAUGCCAAAUAAAGACUUGAUGGCAUUGAUGGCAUUUUCAUUGAUAAAUGACUCGUCGAACCUUUUCAAAAGAGUCUCAAAUUCCUGGGAUGUUCUUAUUUUGGCCAGGUCAGGAUCUGUUCGGAUUCUCUGUUCCACAGUAGUACCAAUGUCAGACAGCUUGCAGAGUGUGCUGUUCAAGUAACUAGGUGAUUUAUUUUUCUUGUAUUUCCAUUAUAAUCAUUGGUUAGAUACCUUGAAGUCUUCAAAUCCUGCUUGCAAGGCAUCUUCCAGAGCAGAGAGUCCAGCUUGUAACUGCUUAUAUUACGGGUUAUAUGAGUACUGGCUCUUGGCAAAUAAGAGAGAUUAGGUAACAAGAAUAUAUCCUUCAUCAAUUCAGAAAGCAUCUACAAGAAGUAGCAUAAAUCCAAAUGGGUAAACUCAGAUGAUGCUAUUUCUAAGUUGAGUACGCUAGGAUGGAGGCAGCAUAUUGAGAAAGCUCCCCUAUUCUAAUGAGGAAAAAAAGAGCAGAUUGGGGAACUUCAGUUUGCUGUAUUUUGAUUGACAUGGGGUUGGGAAGUCCCGAGGAUAGCGUUUUUGACAUUUUCACUGAGACUUAUGCAAGUGAAAAAGCCCAGGAAGUUGGUGCGCUUGCCCGCUAAAAAUUGCCAUGUCUACUGAUGUGAACACCAUUGAGAACACUUGGAAAAA